rnacentral:rRNA from 1 species
GUCUUCGGCCAUACCACCCUGAAUGUGCCCGAUCUCGUCUGAUCUCGGAAGCUAAGCAGGAUCCGGCCUGGUUAUACUUGGGUGGGAAACA